rnacentral:lncRNA from 1 species
CCACGGCUGAGUGCUGCUGCUGGGAGGGAACGGAACCGACCGCAAGGCCACGGCUGGGCGUCCCACCCUGUCUUUGCCCCUUCCUUCCCCUUUCCUUCCCCCUUCCUUCCCCCUUCUUUCCCCCUUCUUUCCCCCUUCUUCCCUCUUUUUCACCUUUUUUCCCCAUUUUUCUUUUUUUCCCCAUAUUUUCCUCUUUUUUCCCCUUUUCAUCUUUUUUCACCUUUUUUCCUUUUUCACUUCCCCCUCCCUUUUCCCCUUUUUUCCCUUUUCCCCCUUUCCCUUUUUUUCUUCUUUUCCUUUUAUUCACCUUUAUUCUUCUUUUUGUUCUUCCCUUUUAUCCCCCCUUUUCCCUCUUUUUCCCUCUUUUUCCCUCUUUUUCCCUCUUUUUCCCUCUUUUUCCCUCUUUUUCCCUCUUUUUCCUCUUUUUCCCUCUUUUCCCUUUUUCCCCUUCCCUCCUUUGUUCCUCCUUUUUCUCCUUUUUCCUCUUUAUUUCCCUUUUUUCUCUUUUCCCUCUUUUCAACUUUUUCCCCGUUAUUCUCCGUAUUCCCAUUUGCCCCCCUUUUUCUCCCCUUUUUUCCUUUUUUCCCCUUUUCUUCUUUCUGCCUUUCCCCCUUUUUUUCCUGUUCCCCCUUUUUUCUAUUUUUCCCUUCUUUUCCCUUUUUUCCCUUCUUUUCCUCUUUAUCCCUCUCUCCCUCCUUUUUUCCCCUUUUCCCAUUUUUCCUCUUUAUUUUCCUUUUUCUCAUUUUUCACCCUUUUCCCCUCUUUUUUCCCAUCUUUUUUCUCCCCUUUUCCCCCUUUUUUCCUCCUUUUUGCCCUUUUUCCCCAUUUUUUUCCCCCUUCUCCCCAUUCUCCCCUUACUUUCCCCAACCCCACUGCCCUCACAUCUGCACAGAACCCACUGGGAGGGCAGCAGAGCGCACAGCACAGCAUUACAUAAACCAUUCCCAACUGAUUUAUUCUAAAUGAGUUGUUAUCAUCAGAAUUUUCCUUACGAGCGGCUUUUCUUGCAAACGUCAGUAUUUCAGAAAAAAGCCCCACCAACCAACCAUCAUCCGACCGCUCCAAUAUUUCAAACUGAUCACUUAUAAACACCAUUUCUAAAAUUAGGUCUUUGGUGUGCAGCAUUGUCAGAGUGGGUGUAUUAUGAUCUGCAGAGAGUAUAAAAAGAUAAAUGAGUUAUUUAACCAAGCAAACGGCGUUGCUGCAGGAAUGUGCGGAGAGAAACGUG